AAGCAUAUCAAUAAGCGGAGGAAAAGAAACUAACAAGGAUUCCCCUAGUAACGGCGAGUGAAGCGGGAAAAGCUCAAAUUUGUAAUCUGGCGCCUUCGGCGUCCGAGUUGUAAUCUCGAGAAGUAUUUUCCGCGCUGGACCGCACAUAAGUCUGUUGGAAUACAGCGUCAUAGUGGUGAGAACCCCGUAUAUGGUGCGGAUGCCCAGUGCUUUGUGAUAUACUUUCGAAGAGUCGAGUUGUUUGGGAAUGCAGCUCAAAUUGGGUGGUAAAUUCCAUCUAAAGCUAAAUAUUGGCGAGAGACCGAUAGCGAACAAGUACCGUGAGGGAAAGAUGAAAAGCACUUUGGAAAGAGAGUUAACAGUACGUGAAAUUGUUGGAAGGGAAACGCUUGAAGUCAGACUUGCAUUUUGGAGUUCAGCCGCAAGGUGUAUUCUUCAAUUCGCAGGCCAGCAUCAGUUUUCGGGGGUGGAAAAUCGCGGUUUGAAGGUAGCA
rnacentral:rRNA from 1 species